GGAUUAGUGGCGAACGGGUGAGUAACACGUGGGCAAUCUGCCCUGCACUCUGGGACAAGCCCUGGAAACGGGGUCUAAUACCGGAUAAUACUGUUCCCCUCCUGGGGGGCGGUUGAAAGCUCCGGCGGUGCAGGAUGAGCCCGCGGCCUAUCAGCUUGUUGGUGGGGUAAUGGCCUACCAAGGCGACGACGGGUAGCCGGCCUGAGAGGGCGACCGGCCACACUGGGACUGAGACACGGCCCAGACUCCUACGGGAGGCAGCAGUGGGGAAUAUUGCACAAUGGGCGAAAGCCUGAUGCAGCGACGCCGCGUGAGGGAUGACGGCCUUCGGGUUGUAAACCUCUUUCAGCAGGGAAGAAGCGAAAGUGACGGUACCUGCAGAAGAAGCGCCGGCUAACUACGUGCCAGCAGCCGCGGUAAUACGUAGGGCGCAAGCGUUGUCCGGAAUUAUUGGGCGUAAAGAGCUCGUAGGCGGUCUGUCACGUCGGGUGUGAAAGCCCGGGGCUUAACCCCGGGUCUGCAUUCGAUACGGGCAGACUAGAGUGUGGUAGGGGAGAUCGGAAUUCCUGGUGUAGCGGUGAAAUGCGCAGAUAUCAGGAGGAACACCGGUGGCGAAGGCGGAUCUCUGGGCCAUUACUGACGCUGAGGAGCGAAAGCGUGGGGAGCG
rnacentral:rRNA from 2 species